rnacentral:rRNA from 1 species
CUGGCUCAGGAUGAACGCUAGCGGCAGGCUUAACACAUGCAAGUCGAGGGGCAGCGGGGAGGAAGCUUGCUUUCUCCGCCGGCGACCGGCGCACGGGUGAGUAACACGUAUGCAACCUGCCCCUGUCAGGGGGACAACCCGCCGAAAGGCGGGCUAAACCCGCGUGCAUGCCACCGGGGCAUCCCGGAGGCAGGAAAGGCUUCGGCCGGACAGGGAUGGGCAUGCGGCGCAUUAGGCAGUAGGCGGGGUAACGGCCCACCUAACCGACGAUGCGUAGGGGUUCUGAGAGGAAGGUCCCCCACACUGGUACUGAGACACGGACCAGACUCCUACGGGAGGCAGCAGUGAGGAAUAUUGGUCAAUGGUCGGGAGACUGAACCAGCCAAGCCGCGUGAGGGAUGAAGGUACAGAGUAUCGUAAACCUCUUUUGUCAGGGAACAAAGGCGGGGACGUGUCCCCGGAUGAGUGUACCUGAAGAAAAAGCAUCGGCUAACUCCGUGCCAGCAGCCGCGGUAAUACGGAGGAUGCGAGCGUUAUCCGGAUUUAUUGGGUUUAAAGCGUGCGCAGGCGGUCUGUUAAGUCAGCGGUCAAAGCCCGGGGCUCAACCCCGGCCCGCCGUUGAAACUGGCAGUCUCGAGUUGGAGAGAAGUAUGCGGAAUGCGCGGUGUAGCGGUGAAAUGCAUAGAUAUCGCGCAGAACUCCGAUUGCGAAGGCAGCAUGCCGGCUCCACACUGACGCUGAGGCACGAAAGCGUGGGUAUCGAACAGGAUUAGAUACCCUGGUAGUCCACGCAGUAAACGAUGAAUGCUGGCUGUCCGGGGGGGAUUGACCCCUGGGUGGCGAAGCGAAAGCGGUAAGCAUUCCACCUGGGGAGUACGCCGGCAACGGUGAAACUCAAAGGAAUUGACGGGGGCCCGCACAAGCGGAGGAACAUGUGGUUUAAUUCGAUGAUACGCGAGGAACCUUACCCGGGCUCAAACGGGGAGUGACUCAGGCAGAGACGCCUGUUUCCCACGGGACACUCCCCGAGGUGCUGCAUGGUUGUCGUCAGCUCGUGCCGUGAGGUGUCGGCUUAAGUGCCAUAACGAGCGCAACCCCCGCGUGCAGUUGCUAACAGAUAACGCUGAGGACUCUGCACGGACUGCCGGCGCAAGCCGCGAGGAAGGCGGGGAUGACGUCAAAUCAGCACGGCCCUUACGUCCGGGGCGACACACGUGUUACAAUGGGUGGUACAGCGGGAAGCCAGGCGGCGACGCCGAGCGGAACCCGAAAUCCACUCUCAGUUCGGAUCGGAGUCUGCAACCCGACUCCGUGAAGCUGGAUUCGCUAGUAAUCGCGCAUCAGCCAUGGCGCGGUGAAUACGUUCCCGGGCCUUGUACACACCGCCCGUCAAGCCAUGGGAGCCGAGGGCGCUUGAAGUGCGUCGCCGCGAGGCGCGCCCUAGAGCGAAAUCGGUGACUGGGGCUAAGUCGUAACAAGGU